GCGGACGUGGCGGAAUUGGUAUACGCAAUAGACUGAGGCUCUAUGGGGAUUUUUCCCCGUGUGGGUUCAAGUCCCACCGUCCGCACCU
rnacentral:tRNA from 1 species